rnacentral:tRNA from 1 species
GGAGGUGUGGCCCUGUGGAAGAGUAUUCCCCUGGUAAAUGAGAAGCUCUGUGUUCACAUCUCAGCACCACCA